rnacentral:rRNA from 1 species
GACGAACGCUGGCGGCGUGCUUAACACAUGCAAGUCGAACGGAAAGGCCCUGCUUUUGUGGGGUGCUCGAGUGGCGAACGGGUGAGUAACACGUGAGUAACCUGCCCUUGACUUUGGGAUAACUUCAGGAAACUGGGGCUAAUACCGGAUAGGAGCUCCUGCUGCAUGGUGGGGGUUGGAAAGUUUCGGCGGUUGGGGAUGGACUCGCGGCUUAUCAGCUUGUUGGUGGGGUAGUGGCUUACCAAGGCUUUGACGGGUAGCCGGCCUGAGAGGGUGACCGGCCACAUUGGGACUGAGAUACGGCCCAGACUCCUACGGGAGGCAGCAGUGGGGAAUAUUGCACAAUGGGCGGAAGCCUGAUGCAGCAACGCCGCGUGCGGGAUGACGACCUUCGGGUCGUAAACCGCUUUCGCCUGUGACGAAGCGUGAGUGACGGUAAUGGGUAAAGAAGCACCGGCUAACUACGUG